rnacentral:rRNA from 1 species
AGAACGAACGCUGGCGGCAUGCCUAACACAUGCAAGUCGAACGAAGUCUUCGGACUUAGUGGCGCACGGGUGCGUAACGCGUGGGAAUCUGCCCUUGGGUACGGAAUAACUCAGAGAAAUUUGUGCUAAUACCGUAUAAUGUCUUCGGACCAAAGAUUUAUCGCCCAAGGAUGAGCCCGCGUAGGAUUAGCUAGUUGGUGAGGUAAAAGCUCACCAAGGCGACGAUCCUUAGCUGGUCUGAGAGGAUGAUCAGCCACACUGGGACUGAGACACGGCCCAGACUCCUACGGGAGGCAGCAGUGGGGAAUAUUGGACAAUGGGCGAAAGCCUGAUCCAGCAAUGCCGCGUGAGUGAUGAAGGCCUUAGGGUUGUAAAGCUCUUUUACCCGGGAUGAUAAUGACAGUGCCGGGAGAAUAAGCUCCGGCUAACUCCGUGCCAGCAGCCGCGGUAAUACGGAGGGAGCUAGCGUUGUUCGGAAUUACUGGGCGUAAAGCGCGCGUAGGCGGUUUUUUAAGUCAGAGGUGAAAGCCCAGUGCUCAACACUGGAACUGCCUUUGAAACUGGAAAACUUGAAUCUUGGAGAGGUCAGUGGAAUUCCGAGUGUAGAGGUGAAAUUCGUAGAUAUUCGGAAGAACACCAGUGGCGAAGGCGACUGACUGGACAAGUAUUGACGCUGAGGUGCGAAAGCGUGGGGAGCAA